rnacentral:rRNA from 1 species
UGCAAGUCGAACGGAAACGAUGGAAGCUUGCUUCCAGGCGUCGAGUGGCGAACGGGUGAGUAAUGCUUGGGAAUCUGCCCAAUAGUGGGGAACAACUCGGGGAAACUCGGGCUAAUACCGCAUAAUCUCUUCGGAGGAAAGGGGGCCUCUACAUGUAAGCUCUCGCUAAUGGAUGAGCCCAAGUCAGAUUAGCUUGUUGGUAAGGUAACGGCUUACCAAGGCUACGAUCUGUAGCUGGUCUGAGAGGAUGAUCAGCCACACUGGGACUGAGACACGGCCCAGACUCCUACGGGAGGCAGCAGUGGGGAAUAUUGCACAAUGGGCGAAAGCCUGAUGCAGCAAUGCCGCGUGUGUGAAGAAGGCUCUAGGGUUGUAAAGCACUUUCAAUAAGGAAGAAAAGUAUAGAGUUAAUAACUUUAUGCAUCGACUUAACUUAUACAAGAAGCACCGGCUAAUUCCGUGCCAGCAGUCGCGGUAAUACGGAAGGUGCAAGCGUUAAUCGGAAUUACUGGGCGUAAAGCGCGCGUAGGCUGUUAUCUAAGUCGAAUGUGAAAUCCUCGGGCUCAACCUGGGAACUGCAUCCGAAACUGGAUAACUAGAGUAUGGGAGAGGUAAGUAGAAUUUCCGGUGUAGCGGUGAAAUGCGUAGAUAUCGGAAGGAAUACCAGUGGCGAAGGCGGCUUACUGGACCAAUACUGACGCUAAGGUGCGAAAGCGUGGGGAGCGAACAGGAUUAGAUACCCUGGUAGUCCACGCC